AAAAGUUUGAUGAAGAACGGUAAGGUGCGUCGUUUCAGCUGUAAUAAAGCGAGUUGUAAUGUAUGACUAGUCCGUUGGCGCAGUUUGUAGUGACCCUGCUUUCUGCUCCGAGGAAUUAUAGAAUUUGGCAAUGGCAAGAAGCGAUACUUUCUUCAAGGGAACACGUUUUAUAGGCAGUGUGCUAUACGCAAAGGUACAGCUUCAAGAUGGAAGUGCACAAUCCCAGGUUGCCAGGUUUACAUACAUUUAGAUGAGAGACUCAACAUUAUACGUCCGCCAACACAUGAACAUUCUCAUUUACCAGCAAAACUUAACAAGAAUAGAGAUGGCGUUAUAUAUUAGAAUUUAAAUAAAUUUAUGUUUGAUGAUA